UACAGAUGUUCAGUGUAAUGAAGGCACUGAGAGAUUCAGAGACAGACUGAAGCUGAAUCAUCAGACUGGAUCUCUGACCAUCAAAAACCAUCAGCAAAACAGAUGCUGGUAAUUAUCGUCUAGAGAUCAACAACAGUGACAAAAAAUACCUUUAAAGUUACUGUCAUUGAUGUUCCUGCUGCUGAACAAGAUGAAAUGAAGAUAAAGACAAACAAGGGAGAAUCUGUCAUUUUACAUUCUGGUGUGUCAAAAAAAAAAAUAUAAUAACUUGAAGUGGUAUUUUAAUGACACUCUCAUCGCUGAAAUCACUGGAGAUCAGAGUGAGAUCUGUACACAUAAUGAGUGUAAAGAGAGAUUCAGAGAUAGACUGGAGCUGGAUCAUCAGACUGGAUCUCUGACCAUCAUGAACAUCACAAACACUGACUCUGGGGUUUAUUAUAGAGAGAUCAGCAGCAGCAAUUUCAGCAUCAUUAGGAGCUUCAGUGUUACUGUCACUGAAUCAGCUCUGUCUUCAGGUCUAUUAGCAGGAAUAUGUGCUGCUUUUACUUUUCUGAUGGCGGGCUGUAGCUGCUGUUUUUGGUUUCAUUUACUUUUGCCGCAGGAGCUCCGGAAAGGGCAAG